UAGCAUAUCAAUAAGCGGAGGAAAAGAAAGCAACAGCGAUAGCCUCAGUAACGGCGAGUGAAGCGGCUACAGCUCAAAUUUGAAAUCUGGCCUCCUUUGGGGGUCCGAGUUGUAAUUUGCAGAGGAUGCUUUGGCAUUGGCGGCGGUCUAAGUUCCUUGGAACAGGACAUCGCAGAGGGUGAGAAUCCCGUACGUGGGCGCCUGCCUUUGCCGUGUAAAGCUCCUUCGACGAGUCGAGUUGUUUGGGAAUGCAGCUCUAAAUGGGAGGUAAAUUUCUCCUAAAGCUAAAUACCGGCCAGAGACCGAUAGCGCACAAGUAGAGUGAUCGAAAGAUGAAAAGUACUUUGGAAAGAGAGUCAAAUAGCACGUGAAAUUGUUGAAAGGGAAGCGCUUGCAGCCAGACUUGCCCGCAGUUGCUCACCUAGGCUUUCGCCUGGGGCACUCUUCUGCGGGCAGGCCAGCAUCAGUUUGGGCGGUCGGAUAAAGGCCUCUGUCAUGUACCACCCCUCGGGGUGGCCUUAUAGGGGAGGCGUAAUGCGACCAGCCCGGACUGAGGUCCGCGCAUCUGCUAGGAUGCUGGCGUAAUGGCUGUAAGCGGCCCGUCUUGAAACACGGACCAAGGAGUCUAACAUCUAUGCGAGUGUUUGGGUGUCAAGCCCGGGCGCGCAAUGAAAGUGAACGGAGGUGGGAACCCUUCGGGGUGCACCAUCGACCGAUCCUGAAGUCUUCGGAUGGAUUUGAGUAAGAGCAUAGCUGUUGGGACCCGAAAGAUGGUGAACUAUGCUUGAAUAGGGUGAAGCCAGAGGAAACUCUGGUGGAGGCUCGCAGCGGUUCUGACGUGCAAAUCGAUCGUCAAAUUUGGGCAUAGGGGCGAAAGACUAAUCGAACCAUCUAGUAGCUGGUUCCUG
rnacentral:rRNA from 1 species